GGGCGGUUAGCUCAGUUGGUUAGAGCGUCUGGUUUACACCCAGAAGGUCGGGAGUUCGAGGCUCUCACCGCCCACCA
rnacentral:tRNA from 1 species